AGGGUGUGAUGAUUUGGAAGAAACCCAGGCUGCCCUGGAUGGAAUGGGGGCCGUGGUUUGAAGCUUGGCUGUGUUGCUUGGAAUUACCGCCCUCUUGGGCAUUCUGCUUCUGAGGCUGCAAUUGCCAAUCUCACCAACCCACCGGACCAGAGGACCCUGGCUUCCAAGGUAUUGGCAUCCCCUGAUCAAGGCCUCAGUUGAAUCAUUUGGAAUCUGAACACAUGGCCCUACAUACUCCAAUAGCCUGCAAAGCCCGUGAACAAACGAAAUCGCUGAGAUGAUUCAACUGUCAGUGCCCUGUGUCAACGUGAAUGAGCUGAGUAGAGAAGCCCCUCCCUCCUUCACAUCACAGGAGUCAACAGCUACUGAGACCUGUGGAUCUUCACAGUUGGAAAUAUUAUGCCCCUGGAAAAGCAGUUAUGUCUCUAAUGCUUUGAUUCGUUCCAAAACUGCAUUUAAAACAAGAAGACAUAAAACUGCCCCACUGAACAGUGUGAUUCAGACAGGUGACCUGUUGUUUUCUCUUAGUCAAUCAAAAC
rnacentral:lncRNA from 1 species